rnacentral:lncRNA from 1 species
UUUGCAAACAUUUUGUGAACUAAGAGUGGCAAAGACUGGUAUUUGCACUGCCAAGCUUGCAUUCUUAGUCUUCGUCGGUAACAGAACUUUCCCAGCUCUGAAUUGUAGCAGUGUGAUGAGUCUUGCAGAAGAGGUGGUAUGUGGGGACAAGUACUGCAGUGAGAGAGAACAGUAUGAGCAAAGGACAAGGAGCAUGGUGGGAAUUUGAACUCCAUCAUGUGAGAAGGUAGGAAGCGAUGACAGGUAGGAUGGUGCCAGAUUAUAGAUGGCCUGGAGUAACAAGGCAAAGAGUUCAGGCUUUUUGACAAGGGGCAAGGGACCCUUGUGGAGUUUUGAUUGAGGAGGUAGAAAAUCAGCGAUUCAGAGUUGGUGAGCAUUCACUAAACUGUGACUGUUCCCCGAGUACUGAGUGGAGAUAACUCUAUCGGUAUGUUUAUGACUGAGUGGAGGCCAGCAGACAGGAAAGCAGAAAGGCAGCGAGGAGGCUAAGGAGGGAGGCCACGGCAGGGGAGAAGGGGUGGGGUUGGGAUGUAAGAGAGAGGGUGUGAGGGAGGACUGAGAGCACUUGGCAGCCUACUAGGUGUGGGAGGUGAGAGAGAGAGGAGCUCAAGACAAAGUGGAGGUUUGUUUUCAUCUAGCUCAAAGACAGGAAAAUUUCUCAAAGAUGUCCUGACCAGGUUUUUUCUUAAUUAACACAGUGAACGAAAAGUUCUACAAUGUUAUGAAGACCUCCCUUUCCCAAGGAACAAAAAGUUCUACAGUGAGCUAUAAAGACCUUCCCUUUCUAAGGAAUAGCUUACAAUGAGUACAGCUCAAUUGAUCUCACCAAAAACAGCGAUCUGAUCAAGUCAUCAUGCCAUAAGACCUUCAGGGUCUCCAUCCUCUGGUCACAGCAUACUCUCGAGCUCCUCUUCACCUUCUGCUCUACCAGAUACCCACAUGCCGGCAGUGGGUGAGCAGAGGGCCACACUGCCAUUCUCACUGAGAUAGCUGUUUGUUGUGGAGGACUGUCCUAUGCAUAUAUUCCACCAAAAAAAAAUGUAUACACACUUCAGGAAAAGAAAAAUGGCAUGAUGUUUUUCUACAGAUAUCAUUGCCUUUGCCUGAGGACCCCUAGAGGAUGUCAUAUAUCACAGAAAGGCCACUACACUGCCAGCCCUUCGAGAAGAAAUUGAAAAUGCACGUGCAGCCAUCUCAAUGACCAAGGUUACCCAAGCAGUGGUUCACCAUACUAAUAAAUGUCUGGAAGCUAAUACCACCACUUUGAGCACCUCUUGUAAUUGUAG